GAUGAACGCUAGCGGCAGGCUUAACACAUGCAAGUCGAGGGGUAUAGUUCUUCGGAAUUAGAGACCGGCGCACGGGUGCGUAACGCGUAUGCAAUCUACCCUUCACAGAGGGAUAGCCCCAGAGAAAUUUGGAUUAAUACCUCAUAGUAUAGCAGUUUCGCAUGAAACCACUAUUAAAGUCACAACGGUGAAAGAUGAGCAUGCGUCCCAUUAGCUAGUUGGUAAGGUAACGGCUUACCAAGGCAACGAUGGGUAGGGGUCCUGAGAGGGAGAUCCCCCACACUGGUACUGAGACACGGACCAGACUCCUACGGGAGGCAGCAGUGAGGAAUAUUGGACAAUGGGCGCAAGCCUGAUCCAGCCAUGCCGCGUGCAGGAUGACGGUCCUAUGGAUUGUAAACUGCUUUUAUACAGGAAGAAACACUACUUCGUGAAGUAGCUUGACGGUACUGUAAGAAUAAGGAUCGGCUAACUCCGUGCCAGCAG
rnacentral:rRNA from 1 species